AACAGCCAAAAUCCAAGUCGAGCCAAAUUAGUUCGCGUUUCCAAAAAAAGGUGUCGCAUGGCUCAAAUUAUGGCGCCGCCUAGCGGUGAGACACACCAACUGCUGUGAACAGACUGAAAUAUUGCUUGAGUGACGUAAACCCGAGCUGUCAGAACCGGACUUAGCCAUUUUUGUGUUUGUUUACGUCCCUGCCACGUUUACAAUUUCUCUUGCAUAACAAAAAAAAAAAACAUUUUAUUUCGGUUUUCGCGGAUUUCUUGGGCGUAACGCGGUUCUUUGGUGCCGAGAAAAACUGCCGUUGAUUAAUUUUGCCAACGGUCCGUAAUUUUUGCGCAGAAUUUCGGUUUCGCGAAAGUUGUUCCCAAGGAAUUCGGCAGCUGGAGAAUCCGGACGUUGCCGAACCUGUCGACAACGGGUGUAGCCGUGUCCGGAUUUCCAUCACCGGAAACAUAUUUGGUGCAAAGUCUAGCUGGGAGAGCUGAGAAGAAGAUAGAUGACGAGAAGAAUACGUGAACCAAAAAGUAGUUGCCGGAAGAGUGUCGUGUGCGGUAGUGCAGUGUUUCUUUUUUGCCGCACCGGAAAAAGGACUCUGGACUCACGAAAGGAACUGCUUAAUCUCCCUCGAGCAAGGCCCGCCGGUGUUCGCUUCCGGAGCUGCAGCGUACUGCGGGACUGGAGCCGCUGCUUGCUGGGGAAUUGGUACCGAUUCCGUCGAAUCCGAACCGGGGAACAUACCGGUCAUGGUGUGACCGCAGCAGAACCGAUCGCAACAACUCCCGCUGUAUCGGCAAUCUGGGCCAUCAGACCGGGUCCGAUUCCGCGUGACACAGCAGGGCUAAGAACCUUUUUCUGAGGAAAACAAGAAAUUGGGAUUUACACUUCGGACAGUAAAAAGUGAUGAAGAAAAAAAACAACAAAAGCAAAGAAGAAGUUUAUUGGGCGGAUUUGGGAAAAGAGAAAAGGAAAGCCGGAAGUGCCAAUUUGGUGUGUUUACUGUUGAAAAUCAACGUGAAAAUAAUGAAUAUGAGUUAACAAAACGAAAACCCAGUUCGACUUAGCAUUGAGCUGUAAUUCUUGUUGUGAUUUGAUCACCAUCAGCCUUCCUGCGGGUGAUUUGGAGUCUGCCUCCCGGAGUGUCAAGGCAGCUCGGCUUUAAAAAAUGGUAAUUUCGGUCAGCAUAUCCCAACCAGCCCACGUGUUCCGAGUCCACCAGAGUCCAGUUCCAGAUUGAUUCCGCGGAGAAAGCUUCAGAGUAACCGCUCAGAAACACAUGUUGGUCAUCUCACCAUCUAUCACUACAGCGAGAUCCAAACCGGCUUGGAUCUCCCCGAAUAAACCACACUGCCAUGAUCAUCGUCCGUCAUCGCGCACUUCCACCACGACCACGGCGAAGCUUACCGACUGGUAUCCAAGAUCGGUGGCACCGACAAGGUCGACCAGCGCUGCAUCUACAUCAAGUCGACUGCCAUGUCGAUGCUCUUCGAGCCACGAAGCGGUGUUCAUCAUCAAACAGCGCUAUAAAGACUGUUCCGAAUUAAUCUAAUCGACCGGACACGUGGACUUUUCGUCUGAGGCCUAUAUGCCCGGGGUAUGCUUACAGACCGUGACCUUGCUCUGCUGGACCAUCGCAGAGCGGAUCAAGCCUACGCUUCUCAUCAAGCAAAUGGACCACGCGAUGCUGAAACUGCAGCUGGACGCUGAAGAUCUGUACGAGGCCUUAUAUCAUAUCGUGAACGUCAUCACCACCACGGACAAAAUCAACGGUGGCCCGAUGCGGGAUGUGCGUGUCCACCCGAGCAAACAUUCGAAAAUAAGCCGACGGAUCACGAAACUGAUGGUCACGUGGAAGCUGCCGACUGAAAAGCACUGCUUCAGAUAAUAGACAUCUGCCGACGCCCGUGUUCCUCCUUAAGCACCGUGCGAAGGCCAUCAUGCCGAUGAAGCCACCGUUGCCGUCGCCGUCGAGUUCCGCGCUUCUGAUGUCCAUGUCCAAAAUGGUACCGACCUCCAACAUGACGUAUUACGGAAUGGUCCGACUGCACCCGGAAAGCGCGAUUACUUGUCUGGACAGUGUCGAUUCUGGUCAAGACCAUCACGACUUUUAAGGCUGCCCACAAUACGAAGGUGUGGGAUUUCUCCAUGUCGCCCACCGCCCUGGUUGACAUGGACAAUGUGGUCCGACAUGGUCCGCUCGUGGGGCCAAACACCGGCGACCAGACGGUGCUUUCUGCUUGUCGCGGUCAGCAGUACGGCAAGAAUCGAACUGCCAAGGAUUUCUCACUGUCGGAGAAACUAAAUAACCAUUACGGAUCACGGAUUCUUCAAAACUUCCCGAAACAGCCAGAAUGUUGUAGGAAAGUUGCCGGAACCGGUUUCGGUAGCAAGGAAAUGUCCUACCGACAAGACCGAUGGAGUGGAACUCGUCAACAUGCACGUCCGCUGUGGAUCGCCAUGCGAAGCGAGCACGUCAAGCCGCCCGCUGCCUGCCCCGUGACGAGAAGUUAAACUGAACCGUCUACGUCCUCCUUCCUUCCGGUUCCCGUCGAGAUUCCAAGAAAUCGUCCAAAAAGCCCGUAGAAAACAAAACAUUGAAUACCAAAUCAAUAUGCCUUAUAAAUUUACUUUUUAAUAAAACUCACCGUGUUUGGUAA